CUAAGAGAAGUUCAUAUGGUCAUGACUGAUGAUUACUAACAGGUACAAAUUCAGUGAGUCGAAGUAUGACAUAAUUGCCCGCAAAAAAGCUGUUUUGCCUUAGGUUACAAUAAGAUCAGUGGAAGGAAAGUGUGCAGAACAAACGAAGCCUUUAGUCCCACAGAUUAGACACAUGUGGAGUCUCCUGUUGCUGCAUUUUACGAGGGUCAUCGACUUACUGGAAUUUAGAAGGAGAAAGAUGGCCAGGAUGAUAGUCUGCGCCCUCUGAGGAAAAGAUGGGCCCACUCAUUCCACCUCUGAAAGCUCAGUCCUGCCCUGUGUGCAAACUGCCUCACAUGCAGCUCCACAUGCCCUCAGACCUCAGCGGGAGCAGGGCCCAGUGCCCUGGCAUUGGAUGCUGUGUCCUCUCAGUCACUGCUCUUUUCAUCGAGAAGCUGUGAUCCCAGAGAAGUAAUCCUCCCUAGAAAUACACAGAUCUGAAGAAGUUCAACAAGAUCCAAACAGGAACUACCAAAGGUCAUUGCCAAACCUGAAGGCUGGCAGCAGAAGACAGAUUUCCUCCCCGGGCAAGGCCCUUCUAGUGAGUACUGCCACCCAUUCUCUAAAAGAAGCUUUAGAAAAUUAGUCUGGAAUGUCUAGAAUUUAUUCCAGAAAAUGGAUCUGGAAAAUUAGCAAAACCUCUUCUUAAACAGCUGCUUAAAAAAAUAAAAAUUACCUUCCA